UGGGGAACCUGCCCCAUAGUCUGGGAUACCACUUUGAAACAGGUGCUAAUACCGGAUAAGAAAGCAGAUCGCAUGAUCAGCUUUUAAAAGGCGGCGUAAGCUGUCGCUAUGGGAUGGCCCCGCGGUGCAUUAGCUAGUUGGUAAGGUAAAGGCUUACCAAGGCGAUGAUGCAUAGCCGAGUUGAGAGACUGAUCGGCCACAUUGGGACUGAGACACGGCCCAAACUCCUACGGGAGGCAGCAGUA
rnacentral:rRNA from 1 species